rnacentral:lncRNA from 13 species
UGUGGGAGCCCUGCCCUGGGACAAAUGUACAUGAAUCCAAAUGAAGCAGAAUCCAGGGAACGGAAUGACGUUAGAAUCUGAGGCCUGAACAGCA